UUAAAGUGGUGGUCUUCCCUCUGCAGGGCCAAUACCAGGAUGACAUCCUCCGUGUUUCGUUUUUCCUUUGGCCCUCCCUCAUCAGAGGGCUUUCCCAGAGACCUCUUCACUUCCGGCUUUUGUUUGAUGUUCUCCAUAUAAGAGUGGUCAGGAUUGUGGACGUUAUGGAUGGGAGAUUUCAGAAAGUCGGCUUCUCUCCUCCUCCACUGGUCGGCUACUGAGGAAUGCUGUUGGGACAUACAGGAGCCAUGCAAUCUACUUAAUGGAACUUCACGCUUCUGCAAGAGCUGGAUAAAGUCCUGCUCCCUCACUACCCAGCCCUCACUUCAAAUCCAUGAGGACAGACUACUUCCUUGGGUUUUGAUAUUCUACUAAACAAUGCUGAAGAGAAGUUCUCUUGAGUUGUACUUGGAGCUAAGUAACUUGUGUGUACCUGCUUGGUGCUGGAAAUAGAUCCCAGGUGCUGUGAAGCUAAGGACUCGGGCACACUAGUGACAUAUCUCUGGCAGCUAUGGACUCUAAGAGCCAUUCUAGUAACCCCUUUCAAGACAGAAGAAGCCAGGAUGGUGGUGAUUGCAGCGUGACUCGGCGACACGUGAUGAAGUGAAGACAUGUAGAGAUCUGACCCGCCUUCAGGAAAGACCUCGGCCUCUCACCCAUCCUCAAAUAAACAGAAAGGAGGGCAAAAGGCAGGGCUGACGGCACAUCCAGGACUCUGUCGUCUCUGUCCAUCGGCUUUGUUUCUCCAAUCCUGUCAUCUGCUGCACCUUCUCUGACGUCAGCAAAUCCCACAAUUGGUGAAUCUCUGCGCAUGUGUACAUGUGAGAAGCUUGGCUUCCCCAAAAACACGUUAGUGGAGUUGGGAGGUGGGCCUUUUAGAACUGAUUAGCAUUAGAUGAGAUUGCAAGACUGGCCCCCAUGAUGACUCUGGGCCUGAAUAAGAGGAAGGAGAGCGACCUCCCAACCUGACCACUUGCUUGCUCAUCUCAGUGUGGAACAGCACAUCAAGAAGUCCUUUGCCAGCUGUUGGGGCAGAUGUCAACAUCCUGAUAGACUCCCUAGUCUCCAGAACUCUAGAACUCCAGCCAACAAGAUGGCUCAGAGGGUGAGGCCCUCCAGGUACAGAAACAAGGGGAACGCACUGAAUUCAGCAAGUUAUUGACAGGCGGCGGCGGAGGAAAUCUGCACAUUACUGCCGUAUUGUCGUCUGUGGCAAAAGACUAGAGUCCAGAGGCCCGGGGGCAAGCAAGGACACCGAGGGGAAGGAGGCCUUCCCUUGUUCCGCCCAAGUGCCACGAAAAGGCUACAGAAGGGAAUUGCUGUGUGAGCUGUGGUCUGGGGAUGAGAAACCAAGAGGUACAGGUGCCUCCAAGCAAACACAGCAACAGUACCAAGCCUGGAGCGGUGAGGGUCCGCAAGGGUGCUGUCAGACUGAGCAUGGUCAGGGUCACAGGCCUCCUCGAGAGCAAUUUCCCCGGGAACCACAUCUACACAUGUACAGAACAAGCAGACAUGUCCACAGGACAGCCAGCCAAAACCCUGCCGGCUCUGAGAGCACCGCCUUCCCGAGUCUUCCCCACGACCACGCUGGUAUUAUAGUAAGCAUUUACUCGUGGGCAAAGCAUGGGCAAGCCCAAUUUAGCCCUCCCCGCUACCCCAGAAAUCUGCACUGUGUGUGUGCACCCCAUCUUACACAGGAGGAGGGAACCUUAGCCAUCGAAAUAACCGCAGUAAAUAAGUACAGAGCCCAUCAUAGUCCAGGGAAUGACUAAACCGUACAUCCUUAACCAUGGCUGACAAGAGCACUGUGAGACACGGUUGUCCACGAGAGGCUGUGUGAUGUCACUUUGGUGGCCUCAGGACCCUUGCUCAUCAGAAUCACUUACUUUUGCCGAAUAUUAUCGUAAGCUGAAAAGAAACUUUACCAUCUGUCUACAAUUGACUAAAUGCUAUUUGGGAGAGGGGCUCUCAGCCCUCGCUAAGUCACUAGCCCUGGUAAGUUAUUCCUGGUCCCAGCUGGGCCCCACACACAGAUUUCUCCUUUUCACAGAAGAUCCACCUUUUACCUCCUUCAGAUGAUGGCGCACCAGUUCUGUGCUUAUGUUUCUGACCUUGGGCACUGGUAUUUUUGUCAACCAUGAGGGACAAGCUGUAAAUCAGUGGUUCUCGUCUUCCUAAUGCUGCAAACUUUUAAUAUGGUUCCUCCUGCUGUGGUGACCCCCGGUCAUAAAGUUAUUUUUGCUGCAACUUCAUAGCUGUAAUUUUACAACUGUUAUGACUCGUAAUACAAAUAUGUGAUAAGCGGCCCCCAAAAGGGUCACAACCCACAGGUUGAGAACCGAUGUUCUCAACUAAACACAGGCAAGUUUUACUAAGAGCCUUGUGCUAGUUAGCGCCAGGGUUCAGCUCUACUGUGAGGUACAUCUGGAAUGUUCUCCCCAAAGUUCAUAUGUUAAGGGCCUGCCUCCCAGCUUGGGAAUCUUGAGAAGAACUAGAAACCGUCAGGCCUUAGGACCUGGUGGGAGGCUCUUGGGAGGGUUCAGAUGUGAACCAUCCCUUGCAAGCUCGGGAGUUUGACUCCCAGCUGGUGGUGCUGAUGUGAGAGGUGACAGAUUCUCCAGGGGAUGAACCUAGUACUACAGGCCAGCUGCUGGGAGCUGAGCAAGAGGGUUAGCUCUUCUGUCUACUCUCAACUUGUUGAUCUACCAGCCACACCCUAGGCUUCCACAGCCAUUCCUUCAUUGUAAGCCAAGAUUAAUCCCCACCCCCCGCCCAAGUUGCUUUCAUCAGAUAUUUUGCACACAUAGAUGCAACAGUAACUUACGCAUGGGCUCAUGACAGGUAGAGUGUGCUCUCCCAGGGUCUAUUCCUCAGUCCUUUACUUCCUGGGCAUGUGGUGAGCAGUUUGACUUCAUAGUGAUGUCCCACGUUGCCACAGGCAACAGGACUAACUCAAUGUGAACAGGAACAUCCAGAAACAUAAGCCAAAAUAAGCCUGUCUCUUUGUAAGUUGAUUAUCUCAGCUCUUUGCUGUAAUUAACUAACAUAAGCCCCAAACAAUAAACCUCCUCUAAACAGAUAUUUGUAGGAAUUAGGGGGUCUUGUUUACUUCUGUCACAAAGAAUCUGGCAGUUGGAGAUCCAGAAAGAGGAUGGUGACCCACAGUGUAGCAGACACUCAGAAUCCUUGCAUAUUUCUGCUAAUUCUUUCUUAAACAGCACCUGGUCUCUCGUGAACACUAGAACGCUGCGAGGGCUCCAGCCAUCACAUCUAAGUCCCAGACACAAGAGUGGGAAGAACAAGGUCUAAACAGUUGCCUCAUGAACUGACACCCUCUCAUGCACACUAAAGGUAGUUCGUCUGGGAAGUUCCACAUGACUUCUACAUAGAUCACUAAACAAAAUUCCAUCAUGCCUAACAGCAAAGGAAGCUAGGAAAUCUCAGAUUGUUGUGGUAUUUUUUUUUUGUUUCUUUUAAUUGUUUGUAUUGAGCUAUAUAUUUUUCUCUGCU